UACGGGGGGGGGCAAGCGUUGUUCGGAAUUAUUGGGCGUAAAGAGCGUGUAGGCGGCCACUUAAGUCCUGCGUGAAAUCUUGCGGCUCAACCGCAAGCGGUCGUGGGAAACUGGGUGGCUAGAGUGCGGGAGAGGAGAGUGGAAUUCCUGGUGUAGCGGUGGAAUGCGCAGAUAUCAGGAAGAACACCCGUGGCGAAGGCGGCUCUCUGGAACGCAACUGACGCUGAGACGCGAAAGCGUGGGAGCAAACAGG
rnacentral:rRNA from 1 species